rnacentral:ncRNA from 2 species
UACGCGCUCCGGGGUCGGUGCAAUUCCGAGCCGGCGGUGACAGCCCGCGACCCGACCACCUCUCGAGGUGGUCGGUUGACCUGGUGGAACUCCAGGACCGACGGUGAAAGUCCGGAUGGGAGGCAGCGCGAG